rnacentral:rRNA from 1 species
GAUGAACGCUGGCGGCGUGCCUAAUACAUGCAAGUCGAGCGAACGGACGAGAAGCUUGCUUUUCUGAUGUUAGCGGCGGACGGGUGAGUAACACGUGGAUAACCUACCUAUAAGACUGGGAUAACUUCGGGAAACCGGAGCUAAUACCGGAUAAUAUUUUGAACCGCAUGGUUCAAAAGUGAAAGACGGUCUUGCUGUCACUUAUAGAUGGAUCCGCGCUGCAUUAGCUAGUUGGUAAGGUAACGGCUUACCAAGGCAACGAUGCAUAGCCGACCUGAGAGGGUGAGCGGCCACACUGGAACUGAGACACGGUCCAGACUCCUACGGGAGGCAGCAGUAGGGAAUCUUCCGCAAUGGGCGAAAGCCUGACGGAGCAACGCCGCGUGAGUGAUGAAGGUCUUCGGAUCGUAAAACUCUGUUAUUAGGGAAGAACAUAUGUGUAAGUAACUGUGCACUUCUUGACGGUACCUAAUCAGAAAGCCACGGCUAACUACGUG